UUGAACGCUGGCGGCAUGCCUUACACAUGCAAGUCGAACGGCAGCACGGGUGCUUGCACCUGGUGGCGAGUGGCGAACGGGUGAGUAAUACAUCGGAACAUGUCCUGUAGUGGGGGAUAGCCCGGCGAAAGCCGGAUUAAUACCGCAUACGAUCUACGGAUGAAAGCGGGGGACCUUCGGGCCUCGCGCUAUAGGGUUGGCCGAUGGCUGAUUAGCUAGUUGGUGGGGUAAAGGCCUACCAAGGCGACGAUCAGUAGCUGGUCUGAGAGGACGACCAGCCACACUGGGACUGAAACACGGCCCAGACUCCUACGGGAGGCAGCAGUGGGGAAUUUUGGACAAUGGGCGAAAGCCUGAUCCAGCAAUGCCGCGUGUGUGAAGAAGGCCUUCGGGUUGUAAAGCACUUUUGUCCGGAAAGAAAUCCUUGGCCCUAAUACGGUCGGGGGAUGACGGUACCGGAAGAAUAAGCACCGGCUAACUACGUG
rnacentral:rRNA from 1 species